GAGAUAUGAUGAUUUUUACAUUGGUCCGUGUUUCUGAUUUACCGUGACCGACAACCUUUUCCAAUUUCUGAUCUC
rfam:Lupinus angustifolius cultivar Tanjil chromosome LG05, whole genome shotgun sequence.